rnacentral:lncRNA from 1 species
AUAGGGUGGUAUUCUCGAAAGCGGCCUAAGUUAAAUCAGUGGCCUAAACCUGGUUUAAACCAUGGACUAUCUUUUUUGCUAUUCUCGAAGGUGGCCUAAAGAUAAGCCAGGCUUAAAUACGUCAUAGUUCGGCCUAACUUUAGGCCGCUCAGAGGGCAGGUUUAAAUACGUCAUAGUUCGGCCUAACUUCGCGUGACGUCACUUUUUAGUUAAAUCGACUGUCCGCGGAGAGUGAACGGUUCUUUUCAAUUGAUGCAUGGGGAUGGAGAAAAAAAAGGCCUCUCCCAAGCUAUGGUGUCCCGCCUUGUGAAGUCCAUCUCAAUAGCCAUUGCCAGGAGAUGGGAGCAAUACAUCACAAUUCCUUCAGCAAGAGAGGUAGUCCUGCAGAGUGCAGACCCAACAUGAAUUGUAUAAUUACUGCCAUUUCCCUGGCGUUAAUAUGGUCGGUGCUAUUGAUUGCACCCACAUAGGCAUCUCUAAGCCAGUUGGCCCAACACCAGUUAUUUCCUGAACAGGAAAAUAUAGAUACUCCAUUUUUCUUGGAAAGUCUGCUGGAUGAUAUUUUUCUUCAGUAAAAUAAAUGAAGGCAAAUUCCCUGAUAACUGAGACAAAUUCAGAGAGAGGAAGGAGAACUACUGAGCUGCUGAAUUUCUGACAGACAUACUUGCAAGGACUAUGAAGUUCUACUUAGCCUCUUCAAUGAACCAGACUCCAUCUGCUGUAACUGUGACUUCAUGGGGAUCAAAACCUGUGUAUUAUAAUCCUCAUAACAUGAAGCUAUGGUAACAAACAAGCAACCAUUGAUAAAAAGCCUAUGUCCUUGUUGUGUGUGUGAACCACAAAGCAACCAUCACUCAUAAGGAUGUUUUUAUGUACAUCAGAUGUUCAU